ensembl:misc_RNA 7SK 7SK RNA
GGAAGUGAGGGCGAUCCGGCUGUGACAUCUGUCACUCCAUCAGUCACCAAGGUUGGUUAGCUCAUCUGGCUGGUGUCCCCUUCCUCCCUCACCGCUCCAUGUGCGUCCCUCCUGAAGCUGUGCGCUUGGCUGAAGAGAACUACCACCUCCAAUAGAGGAGGAGCGGUCUUCGGUCCAGGGUAUGAGUAGCUGCACCCCCUGCUAGAACCUCCAAACAAGCUCUCAAAAACACCUAUUUUCUGAAGUCCCUCAUCACCCACUUCUUUUAUUUUAUUAAGUAUAUUAAACAUGCAAUAUCAUGUAUU